AGUGAACGCUGGCGGUAGGCCUAACACAUGCAAGUCGAACGGCAGCACAGUAAAAGCUUGCUCUUACGGGUGGCGAGUGGCGGACGGGUGAGGAAUACAUCGGAAUCUACUUUUUCGUGGGGGAUAACGUAGGGAAACUUACGCUAAUACCUCAUACGACCUACGGGUGAAAGCAGGGGAUCUUCGGACCUUGCGCGAUUGAAUGAGCCGAUGUCGGAUUAGCUAGUUGGCGGGGUAAAGGCCCACCAAGGCGACGAUCCGUAGCUGGUCUGAGAGGAUGAUCAGCCACACUGGAACUGAGACACGGUCCAGACUCCUACGGGAGGCAGCAGUGGGGAAUAUUGGACAAUGGGCGCAAGCCUGAUCCAGCCAUACCGCGUGGGUGAAGAAGGCCUUCGGGUUUUAAAGCCCUUUUGUUGGGAAAGAAAAGCAGCAGGUUAAUACCCCGCUGUUCUGACGGUACCCAAAGAAUAAGCACCGGCUAACUUCGUG
rnacentral:rRNA from 1 species